rnacentral:rRNA from 1 species
UACGUAGGGUGCGAGCGUUGUCCGGAAUUAUUGGGCGUAAAGAGCUCGUAGGCGGUGUGUCGCGUCGGCCGUGAAAACCUGCAGCUUAACUGUGGGCUUGCGGUCGAUACGGGCAUCACUGGAGUUCGGCAGGGGAGACUGGAAUUCCUGGUGUAGCGGUGAAAUGCGCAGAUAUCAGGAGGAACACCGGUGGCGAAGGCGGGUCUCUGGGCCGAUACUGACGCUGAGGAGCGAAAGCAUGGGGAGCGAACAGG